rnacentral:rRNA from 1 species
UACGAAGGGGGCUAGCGUUGUUCGGAAUCACUGGGCGUAAAGGGCGCGUAGGCGGCUUUGUAAGUCGGGGGUGAAAGCCUGUGGCUCAACCACAGAAUUGCCUUCGAUACUGCAGGGCUUGAGACCGGAAGAGGUUAGUGGAACUGCGAGUGUAGAGGUGAAAUUCGUAGAUAUUCGCAAGAACACCAGUGGCGAAGGCGGCUGACUGGUCCGGUUCUGACGCUGAGGCGCGAAAGCGUGGGGAGCAAAC